rnacentral:rRNA from 1 species
GGAAUCUUGCGCAAUGGGCGAAAGCCUGACGCAGCGACGCCGCGUGGGGGAAGAAGGCCUUCGGGUUGUAAACCUCUUUCAGCAGGGACGAAGCCACUCGGGUGAAUAGCCCAGACGGUGACGGGACCUGCAGAAGAAGCACCGGCCAACUCCGUGCCAGCAGCCGCGGUAAUACGGAGGGGGCUAGCGUUGUUCGGAAUUACUGGGCGUAAAGCGCGCGUAGGCGGCUUUGUAAGUUAGAGGUGAAAGCCCGGAGCUCAACUCCGGAACUGCCUUUAAGACUGCAUCGCUAGAAUUGUGGAGAGGUGAGUGGAAUUCCGAGUGUAGAGGUGAAAUUCGUAGAUAUUCGGAAGAACACCAGUGGCGAAGGCGACUCACUGGACACAUAUUGACGCUGAGGUGCGAAAGCGUGGGGAGCAAAC